ACGCUGGCGGCGUGCCUAACACAUGCAAGUCGAGCGAGGAGAUUCCUUCGGGAUGAUCCUAGCGGCGGACGGGUGAGUAACACGUGGGCAACCUGCCUCAUAGAGAGGAAUAGCCUUCCGAAAGGGAGAUUAAUACCUCAUAACAUUGCAGUUUCGCAUGGAACAGCAAUUAAAGGAGUAAUCCGCUAUGAGAUGGGCCCGCGGCGCAUUAGCUAGUUGGUGAGGUAACGGCUCACCAAGGCGACGAUGCGUAGCCGACCUGAGAGGGUGAUCGGCCACAUUGGGACUGAGACACGGCCCAGACUCCUACGGGAGGCAGCAGUGGGGAAUAUUGCACAAUGGGGGAAACCCUGAUGCAGCAACGCCGCGUGAGUGGUGACGGCCUUCGGGUUGUAAAGCUCUGUCUUCAGGGACGAUAAUGACGGUACCUGAGGAGGAAGCCACGGCUAACUACGUGCCAGCCGCAGC
rnacentral:rRNA from 1 species